rnacentral:lncRNA from 1 species
GCUUCAUAUUCUUUGAGCGAGAAAAGUUCUCUUUUUGUGAAAAAUCAGAAUGCUUGGUUGAAAAUUCUUUUGUUCUUUAAAUGAAGCUAUAUAUCCGAGAUUGGUACUGGAGUUUUAUGAAAAUGCCUAUAUGGAACCUGAUGCACUCAUUUCUAGAGUAAGAGGCAAAGAGUUGCAUGUUUCUAUUGGUCUUCUUCAUCAGUUGCUUUGGUUACCUACUAUGGAUGAAUCUUCAAAUUCACCAAUCUCAAGAAGAGAUGCUCUGGUCCACAUUCUUCAAAGAACUAAUGUCGAAGAGAUAAAAAGUUUGUUUGCCAACUAGGUAUCUUUGGAGAUGCGCCUGCUGCAUAGCUUUGUUUGCAAAAUUUUUG